CUCACUCUAUUUUCUUCUUCUUUUGUUCUUUUGUUCUUUUCUCCUAAAUUACUUGUGCAGCCGUGACUCUCUUCUCCACCAUCACCACAACCCCAUCCGACCAGCCACCCAUACCAGUCACCUCCAGCCACCGGCAACCACCACUCUCCGGAACCAUCUUUGAAGGUCUUUAGAAGUUGGUUGGCUCAUUGGAUAUUAUUUGACGUUAAUUGUUUGAGCUUGUGAAGUUUGUUUCUACAAGAGGUCAGGAAAAUGUUCAAGAUCGACUGCCGGAGGCGUGACAGUGCGGUGUAGCCUGUGUUUACUAGAUGUCUAUUUCCUUACCUUUAUUUAGGAUGGUUAGACGUUUAAAUUGUUGAAUGUCAUGUAUGACUCAAUCACCUUCGACUUGAGCAAUUGCUUGUUUCCGCUACGAUAUGGACCAUUGAGGUCUUAAUUAGUAUGGUAGUAUUGAAUUGUGUUAUGGAGGCUUAAUGCCAUUGGAGUCCUCUUUAGGACAAUUGUUUA